CAUUAAGUAACUUAAAGCAAGUAUUGAUCUCUUAAAUCAAGUUAAAGUAAUUAGCGUUUACUCUUAAUGA
rnacentral:tRNA from 1 species